rnacentral:lncRNA from 1 species
UUGGUUUUGCUCAUUUGAAGGGCCCCAACCAUGUGAACUUUCACUUUGAUCAUUUUUAACAGCGGACCCUCUCUGGUUCCAUUGAGAUUGCUCUUCAACAUCAUUCCAACCUUUCGCUCCAGGAGAAUCCCAACCAUGUGUGCUUGCUGGUUGGUUUGAUUGUUCUUUCAUUACAUUAUGGCUAGAACUCCAUGAUUUUAUUGCUGGAUCUCUCUGUUGCUCUGAAGGAGAUUGCAAUUUACGUUUAGUCCAGUCCUUGCCAGUUGAAGAAUCCCAACCAACUGAAGUUGUUGCCUGAGCUAAUGGGUCUUCAGGUAAAUUAGCAUCCCAAGAAUGCUCAUUGACAGGAGAUUCAUCAUGUUGCACCACCUCCAUUUGCAGUUCAUUCUUCUUCCAGUCUCCAGUGGUUGAAGAAAUACCACCAUAGGUUGAUUGAGUUGUUUUUUCCUGGGCCACCUUACAAUCCCAAUCAUAAGACUCCCUCAGUUUGUCCAUCUGAGGCUUACCAUCAUUUUUAUUCCAUCCAGUUUUAUCAGCUUCAUCAAUCUUUUUUCCCCAUGCAGACGACGCAAACUGAGGACGUCCAUCCCUAAAUGUUUCAUCCCUACCAGAAGAUCUGGGAGAAUCUUCGUGUGUCCUCCUAAAGGCUGUAUUUUGUGCUUUAUCAGUUCCCCAAGUCCCCUUAUCAUCCCAACCAGCAGAUCUGGAAGAUUCAUCUGGCUCCCUUGUAGAGAAAGUAUCCUUCAUGGUUACUUUAUCAGUGCCCC